GCCGAAGUGGUGGAAUUGGUAGACACGCAUGAUUCAGGUUCAUGUGGGCGUUACAGCCUGUGGGGGUUCAAAUCCCCCCUCCGGCA
rnacentral:tRNA from 1 species